UACGUAGGUGGCAAGCGUUGUCCGGAAUUAUUGGGCGUAAAGCGCGCGCAGGCGGUCCUUUAAGUCUGAUGUGAAAUCUCGCGGCUCAACCGCGAGCGGUCAUUGGAAACUGGGGGACUUGAGUGCAGAAGAGGAAAGUGGAAUUCCACGUGUAGCGGUGAAAUGCGUAGAGAUGUGGAGGAACACCAGUGGCGAAGGCGACUUUCUGGUCUGUAACUGACGCUGAGGCGCGAAAAGCGUGGGGGAGCAAACAGG
rnacentral:rRNA from 1 species